GAUCCUGGCUCAGGAUGAACGCUAGCUACAGGCUUAACACAUGCAAGUCGAGGGGCAGCAUGGUCUUAGCUUGCUAAGGCCGAUGGCGACCGGCGCACGGGUGAGUAACACGUAUCCAACCUGCCGUCUACUCUUGGACAGCCUUCCUGAAAGGAAAGAUUAAUACAAGAUGGCAUCAUGAGUCCGCAUGUUCACAUGAUUAAAGGUAAUUCCGGUAGACGAUGGGAG
rnacentral:rRNA from 1 species